rnacentral:tRNA from 1 species
AGUGGCUCAGUGGACAGAGCAUCUGGCCUGGAAUCAGGAAGAUAUGAGUUCAAAUCUUACCU